UUUCAAAGAUUCAACUGCGAGCUAAACUGGUAGUCCUUAGCUGUUGCCACAGUGCUCGUGGCCAGACAAAGGCCGAGGGAACUGUCGGAAUUGCCCGAGCAUUCUUAGGAUCUGGCGCACGCUCAGUGCUGGUAUCACUGUGGGCCCUGGAUGACAAAGCAACAGAGCAAUUAAUGACACAUUUCUACGAUCACCUUGUCGCUGGGGAAAGUGCUGGUGAAUCUCUACACGAGGCCAUGAAGUGGAUGAGAGGUAAGGGCUAUGACGUGAACCAGUGGGCACCUUUUAUACUGAUUGGAGAUGACGUGACAUUUGAUUUUGGAGAGAAAGGUGUUGGCAAGAAUGACCAGGACGGCAGCGAGUGAUCACAUGAGAAG